UCUCUCUUCAAUUGAAAGAUCUCAAAUUCUCAUUCAUCUCUCUUCUCUUACACACUUUUCCCUCUCUCUCUUUAUAUCUUUAUCAUCUAAUUCAUUUUCAGAUCUUGAAGAACUUCAUCCAGAUCUAAAAGUGAUAUGAAUCCAAAAGAUGAUCCAGUUCAAAAAAUCAUCAUCCAGAUGCUCCAGAUCUAGAAGAUCAUCAUCCAGAUGUUCGAUGUUUGAACAUGAUAUUCCAAAUCUAGAAGAUCCUCCUCCAGAUCCGGUUGAAGAUGAUCGAUGUUGAAGAUGAUGUGAUGGCGGUUCGAUGUUGAAGAUGACCCCAAAGAUGUUCGAUGUUUAAACAUGAUGUUCCAGAUCUAGAAGAUCCUCCAGGUCCAUAACUUUGUUGCAAAUCUACACUUUGAAGAUGAUGUUUUAGAUGUUUGAAGAUGACGUUUCAGAUGUUGAAGAUGAUUCAAAAGAUGUUUGAUGUUGAACAUAGUUACGAAAUGUAA